ACGAUGUUCAGUUUGCUGUACUUUGUUAGGGUUUGAGAUUUAGGUCAAAUUGCGAUGGCGAAAUCUGCAGAUGAUGCGUCGGAACCUGUUCUGAUAUCGGUGGUGUUGAUGUCAGCGUCGAAGCACAUUGCGACGAGAUGCAAAGGCAACAAUAAUCAGGUAGCAAAAGUCAAUCAAGUUGAGUGGAUUGGUGCGCUGCAUUUGCUGGCAAAACAAGCGAAUUUGGUGGAGUGUUAGUGGAGUGUCGGGAGUCUUAGGGGAAGAAGGUUGAUUCGAGGAAAUUGGAUGUGCAAGGGCAUAUUCCGGAUGCAUUUGGGGCUUCUUUGGUGGAGCCUUGGCUGAUUGCACAUGGAGAUCCGUCCAGCAUACAACAAUGGUUUGAGUACUAUUCAAGUGAGAAAAAAAAUGCCCAAUUUGCAAGCAAACGUGUUCAGCAAUGCCAAAUUCCAAAUUGCAAAUUUGCAAGCUUGGGUCAACGGGCAACAUAUAGAAAGAUACUGGACUCUUGCUG